CCUACGGGGGGCAGCAGUGAGGAAUAUUGGUCAAUGGCCGUAAGGCUGAACCAGCCAAGUCGCGUGAAGGAAGAAGGAUCUAUGGUUUGUAAACUUCUUUUAUACGGGAAUAACGCGCCUUACGUGUAGGGCUUUGCAUGUACCGUAUGAAUAAGGACCGGCUAAUUCCGUGCCAGCAGCCGCGGUAAUACGGAAGGUCCGGGCGUUAUCCGGAUUUAUUGGGUUUAAAGGGAGCGUAGGCCGCAUGUCAAGCGUGCUGUGAAAUGUCCGGGCUCAACCCGGGCCUUGCAGCGCGAACUGGCGUGCUUGAGUCCGCGGAAAGCAGGCGGAAUUCGUCGUGUAGCGGUGAAAGGCUUAGAUAUGACGAAGAACCCCGAUUGCGAAGGCAGCUUGCUGCAGCGGAACUGACGCUGAUGCUCGAAAGCGCGGGUAUCGAACAGGAUUAGAUACCCUUGUAGUC
rnacentral:rRNA from 1 species